AUGAAUAUCCGGUGCAGCCAAAGUCAGUGGAAGGUAGAAAGACGCCACAGCCGCCUUUCGACAACUUUUUGUUACAAAAGUGGAGAUCUACACGGAGGCGACGGCCUAGGUCGCUCUGACAGGACCAACGACCCUCCUGACGCGUCCACCCGUCCUCGCUAGCAGGGUCCCCCGCGGGCUCUCGACCUGCGCCACCAGAGUUCCACUCUUUUUGUCGACAAUAAUAUGGCGCCCAAACACAUGGGGCCUCAGAGAAGACUCUGGAUCUCGAAGGAGUAUCCCAAAACCAGAGCUAAGGUACCAGCUGGAGCCCAUUGAAGCCUCACCGAGUUUGGGCUUCUCCUCCUGUGGAACUGGAAACCAAAAUCAUGGUAUUUUGAAAACCAGAGGUAUGAAUCUCCCUCAUUUGGCAUCCCACUGGGCCUGGACCUGUUUCACUGCUAAUGUUCUGCUGCCAAAACUAUACAAGUUUCCUGGACUACUGCAGAAGAGAGACAGGGUCUUGCUCUGUUGCCCAGACUGGAGUGCAGUAGCACAAUCCUAACUCAUCGUAACCUUGAACUCCUGGGUGCAAGCCAUCCUCCUGCCUCAGCCUCCUCAGUAUAGGACUACAGGCGUGCCCAGG
rnacentral:antisense_RNA from 1 species